UGGGGCUGUGGACCCUCCUGUUGGUGAUCAGGUGAUGUGCGCCCUAUAAAGAACCUGGGAGCCUCGGCUCUGCAGUGGCUUUGCAAGAAAGAAACAGAGUCGCUGGGUGCAAUUUGUUAUCUUUUUAGGACAAAACCUAGCAGUUCUGAAAACACUGGCUGUGCUCCACAGCUCAUUAAGUAGCACAGCUCCAAGGAAUGAAGGAUAAAGCCCAGAUGUACCGGAGCGCAGCCGAGGGACAGAUUCCUGAUCCAGAUGUAGUGAGAAGCUGAAGACUUGGACCAGCAGUCAGCUGCUUCUUCUCUAGGUCUGCUGCCAUUUAUAGAAGGGUUUGGACUGGAUAAACAUGGUUCCUGUAUUCUGGGUCUUGAAUCACUUCUUUUAGAUUAGGUGGCCUAGAGGUGGUUGCAUGGAAUUGUCUUCAGAGUCAACGUUUAUGUUUUGAAAGAAGCAGCAGAGGCCCUUGGAAAGAAAACAUGUGCCAUGUGAAAAGUCUCUUUUAAAAACAUAAUGAACAAUUAAUUGCACCGCUGGUCUUGAGACUGUUUUGUGAAAGAAGAGAAGAGUCCUGAGCCCAGGCCUUGAGAGAUUUCAACUCCUCUUCCCCUUUCUUGAACACGUCAGAUUAACCUUGUGAAUGAAGAGAGAUCACGUGGAGGGAGGUUUCAGACAUUCACCAGUUUGGCCAAGGCCACCAUAGUCCAGCCCCUAAAUGACCCAGGAGUUGAUGCUAAUCUACUUCGUCAGAAGCCUGCUGCCUUGUUAAUUAUAAUAGGCAGUCAUUGUUUUAAGCCCUUUCUUAAAUUGUGUGGCAAUUUGGUAAGUAACAAAACUACGUGAUACAUAUGGGGACAGCACAACCUUUAAAGUAAUGCCAGCACUAGAGUGGCAGAGGCAGAGAGAUCUCUGGGAGUUUGAAGACAGUCAGGUAUAUACACUGAGAGUCUAUCAGAAAAUGAAUGAAAGAAAGAAAAAAGAAAGGAAGAAAAGAAAAGGAUACCUUGACCUACAAGAAGCAUGACUUGCUCAUGAGGCUGCCAUCAGUCUUAAGGCUUCCAGGAGCUGGGUACAGUGGUGACUGUGUAACAUCAGUAAUUGGGAGGUGGAAGCAGAACUAUCGAGGUCAUCAUUAGCUACUGACGACAAAUGAGUCAUGGCUAAAUGAGACCUCCUCACACCACCCCCUGGAAAAGAGGGCUACCAAGAAUGGCCACCCGAUUGGUGAGUAGCCCGGUCCUAGGAGGUUUAUUCAAGUAAGUGUAACACUCUCUGAUUUGCACAACACAGGUGGUCUGUAGGGUUAAGCAAGACAAAAUAUGUGAAGUCUUGGUAUAAAGUUGGUGCAAACUAAGCAUUUAUUUUUAUAACAACUUCUUGUAUUGAAAUAUUUUCUUCUGUUUUAUUUUAUGACUAUUAAUACUUAAUUAUCAAAUAAGCUUCCAUUUUCCCCUCAGAGAAGUGUUCUAGGAGUGGUGAUGGUGGUGGUGGUGGUGGGCCAGGUAAUCUUCAGGGUUCUCUAGUGUGGCUCUCUGUGAUUCAUGAACUAACACAAAUCUACUCGCAAUGAAGAAGCAGAAACACAUGGCUCCUUUGGUGCAUGGAGGACAAGGCCCCAGAAAUACCACACGGCAGGCCAUCUGUCAGGCAGCCACGUCAACAGUCUGAGAAGCAGUCCAUAAAGCUGCCAAACCCUCCCUUUGCUCUGCCACAAUUAAACAGGAGGCACAGGCAAGGCCCCUGUGCCUGGAAGGUGCGUGGCAGAACAUUGCUAUGUUCUGAACAGGAACUAAAGAGUUAAUGUACCACUGAGGAUACAAAGACACCUUUUGGUUUAAGAUAAAAAGCAAGCAGCAUAGGCACGGAAAAGUCCGUGAGAUGCCUUCUCCUGCCCAUUCCCACCUCUUCAUCACACUGAGUUCUGAAACAUUUACAGCUGACUUGGUUUCCAGAACUGGGUUUCUAGCAGACUCUUGCCUGUUUUACUGGUAGCUUUGGACAGGGUUCUGGGGCUGAGUUCCAGGAGGAGCUUUACUCUUUCCCAGGCAUGGAUCAUGGGACUGACGGCUUAGCCUCGCCCUAGAAACUGGUACAAGCGGUCUAGACUUUGGCCCGACAGUGAUUCUGAAGCACAGCCACAGAUGAGUACCGCUGACCUAAGUAUUCUAGCUUGGGUCCCUGCAGGCAAAGUAUAGAUGAUAAGAUCCACUACGUGGUGUUGCUAGGUGAACCAACUAAGAUGGAGAAUAGCAAACUGUUUUCACUGGACACAGCUUUGCCUGGAAUAGCCUUCUAUCUUACACACAGGUCUCAAAGACCGGCUGUAUUGUUUUUAAUCAGCCAUCUUCAGUACCAGGAAUCUGUCCUGGCUCUGCUUCAUGGGCCUGUGUGCGCAGACUCAAGGAGGAGUAAAGAUGAUGUGUAUGUUUUUUGGAUCACCCUCAGACAUCCAGGAUGCAGAUAACAUUUGCUUGUAUGUUCUAUUUUAGUGCCAUCUCAGUGGUGCUUAGAAGAAAUUAGUACUGUGUCAUCACUGCAAUAGUGAAGAGGGAGCUUUGUCUACCCAGUUGCUGGUAGAAGUGAGUACAAGGGGUGUGCAGCUAUAUGGUAUGUACACAUGGAUUUAUUUGGGUGCGCCAGCCUGCAUUUAGUUGGCAAGCACCUCAUUUUGCUGACUCUAUGCUGGGCACUGGUCCCAUCCUUGCAUUUGGACUGUCCAGUACCCCCAAGGAGACAAAUCCAUGGUUAAUAGUACUGUUAAGGGUCUAACAACCCCUACUCAUGUUAGUGACCACUACAUUGGGAGUAGUACAUUGGGAGUAGUGGUCACUAAUCAUGUAGUGGCAAGCUGUUUAGAGAAGUAUCAUAUUGGUACAAGUGAGAGAAUGUGAGGAAAGGCUCUGGGUAGAUCUGGUAGACUAUAUUAUCCAAAAGCCCCUAGCUUAUAUCUUCUUCAUUUCUUACCUGGCAUAUAUUUUAACUACUCUGUUUCAAGGAAGCUGUUUUCAGUGUUCCUUGACCUUUCUAUCCUGUGCCCCCAUGUCCCUCUCUAUAUUCCUUCCUGUAUUUCAGCUUAGCCCACAUGGAACUGUUUGACAUUGUCUGGACACACAUGUUCUUUCACAUCUGUCUUGGGCAAGCCUGACAUACUUUCCUUCCCACAACCCCCUUUGCCUCAUUUUCUUUCCACAGCUAUUUGCUGUCUACCCAGUGUUCCCUUUUACAUCUCUGAACAAAUGAUUUCCUCUGCUGGGGAUGACCCCACUCCUUCCUUUUGUCUGCCCAAAGUGGUAACUUCUAAUCUUUUCUAAACCAAAUUCAAAGGUCUCCUCUGAGGACCCACACACCCUGAUUCCCCACCAAUAACUGCAAUUUCUCCUCUGCUCCCCUUCCCUCUGCACUUCUGAGUGUCUCUCACUCAGUUAAGGCACAGUAUGUGAUAACACAGACAGAAAUAAAGAGGGGACUUUGCUCCCUAGAAGCCCUGGUGUUUGAAUUCUACCUCUGUAGAGAGACUCCUUUGGAGGACAUUAGCCAGUGCCUGGAAACUGGAAUGGAUUUAUCUUCAUAUUGCUUUUUGCCUGUCCCUGCUUUGCUGUUUAGCUCUUUCUUAGAAUCAAAUUUCAUUUCUAGGUAAAGUCAGGAAAGAAAAUAUUUUGCAGUUAUCUGCCUGAUUGUGCAAUGUUUUAUGCAAUUUAUGAGUUAAAAGGUUGCAAACCAAGGUAUCAAACACACAUGAGGCUAAUCAGCAGAAGUUCAGGAGCAGAGCCAAGGGUGGCCAAUGAGCGAGUCCUUGGACUCUGAAUUUAGGUCAGAAAAUUGGCUUUGGAUUUUAUUAUUCAGCCCACUCCUAAGGCACAAGCAGUGUUCUGAUUUCUGUUAUGUUUCACUUAAUUUUAAGAGCAAGAAUGUCCAUAUUAGGAUAACAUUGCUUAUUGUUUUGCUAUUACCCUUGUGAUCUCAAACUCCAUCCCCUGGAAAGAGCACUAUAUUCUAAUUAUUAAAGACAAAUGAGUAUCUGUUCUCUAGACUUGUCUCCUAAACUGUUCACAAAAGGGAUUACAUGGUGUCUUCAAGAUCUCUGAUAACUUAAACAUUUUGAUUCAUUUCUUUUCUAUGUGUGUUAUCUUGCAGCAAAAUCUAUCAUACAGUCCUUCUUUUCUGCUAAGCCCCAACCAUAGGUCUGUGUUGACCUUCCUGCUCCCUGUCAUGCACCAGUUAGCGUUAUCCAGGCUUGCUGACUCCAACAAAAUUUAUAUGAUGUGAUGUGAUGCAGUAUUUGAAGAUUCCUGUAACUCAUUCUCAAGAGACAUUUUCUACAUCCUGCAUUGUGUUUGUUACCUUUUUUAUCACUACAACUAAUUCCUGUGAAAAACAGCAUCUCAUUUAGCUCUCAGUUUUGGAAGUUCAAAGGCAUAGACCUGGCACUGGGUCAUCUCUGUGAAGAUGACAUCUUGACUAAAGGCAGUGGUUGGGAGUGCUUGUGGAAGAAGAUGGUUUCAGUUUUACACAUGAAAGCAGAGAACAAAAGAGACAUGGAGAUCAGCUCUGUCUUGGUAACAGUGUGCUCCCAUAGAACUCACUCCAGGGGAUUAAGAUUCCCUACCAAAGGAAGCAACUCCAUUGGCCAAGAACCUACUAUCAGGUCUCACUGCUUUUUACUUCUUUGCUAUUUGAAAUUAUGUGUAUGUGUGCAUGUUAAUGCAAGUAUCUACAGACACCAGAACUGUCAGAUCCUCUGGAGCUGGAGUUACAGGCAAUUGUGAACUGCCUGAGGGUGGAUGCUGGAAUGUGAACUCUGAUCCUAUGUAAGAGUAGUAUGUGCUCUAAAUCAUGGAGUCAUCUCCCCAGCUUCCAUGUCCUACUUCUUAAACAUUGAGCCUAUCAGAGGACAUGCAACAGAGACCAUUUGCUAUUGUCCUUAUGUCUGUUGAUCAUGUAUGUUCAGACUUGACAUUUUGGUUCACAUUAUAUACUUCUAAAGUCAACAUUUGACAAAUAUAUAUCACCUCUAGUUACAAAGCCAAAAGGAGUUUCUUGUUUGGUGUUCUUAUAUUCUGUCCCUAUUGUCUCCUCUACUUAUCCUCUGCUGACAUGAC